ensembl:lncRNA
CUCCACUGGAAGGACGGAAGGCAAGAACUGCCCUUUCAGAGUGGGAAACAUUGCUGACAGGAGUGAAAGCAAAAGUCCAAAGUCUAAAUUUAAUCUGUUUGUCACUUGCCUCUAAUCCCCUGAGGGGAGGAAAAAAAUUAUAGAUUUGAGCACCAUGUAAUGGUCACUGUGUCCCGGACCUGGCGUACAAGUAAAGCUCGGUCUUCCCACUGUUCUGGGACAUACACCCACCUCUGUAUUCUCAGUAAAUCAACAUGGGGAGGCUGCUCGGCUGCCAGCGUCGGUGAUUACACUUCUCACACUUAGAAAACCGUAGCUCUGGAAGAUACCUGUGGUGUCUUGUUCACAGACAUCUGAGCCCAACUGACCACAGCUUGUCAUAGGUUUUCUCAGCAUCCUGGGAAAGAAACCUUUGCAUCCGUUAGGGACCCUAUGCAUGAAGACACUGGAUGCUGAUUAAUACAACAGAGGGCAUUAUAUGAAGAAAGAGGGACAAGGUCUCACUAAGUCACCAAGUUGCCCAAGAUAGGCUUGAACUUGCAAUCCUCCUACCUCAGCCUCCCAGGGUCCUGGGAUUCCACAUCCAGCUGAAUUCACACCAUUACUAUGGGUCCAAAACUCAAGUGCGGGAUGAGAGGGAAAGCCACAUUUGAUGGAAAAAUGAGGAUAUUAAUACAGCCCAUGAGGCACAAUGCCAAUUUUGUCAUAAUGGUGCAGAAACAUCUGCUUCAUGAGAGGCACAAGUCCAUGGCUGUUUGAUAUCUUUGCUCAAAACAGGAACUCCAAACAUCUUUCCUUAUUAAGGGAAGAAAUAUUAAUGAUUAACAUUGGGAAUAAAAAUGCCAACUGAAGAAAAGUUUGUGAAUACAGGGGUUUUUUUGCUGAAGAUACUGACAAAGUUGGGAUUAUUUUAUUGGAUCCCAUCCAGGAUGCUACAUUACAUCUUGUCAUACCUUCUUGAGUUCCUCUCGACUGUGAAGUAACAAACUUGAAUUGUUUUUGAGGUCUUUAACAUUUUUGAGGAGUGCAGUAAAGUAUAUUAUAGAAGCCUCUCUACUAGAUUUGUUUGAUAUUUUCCAGACUGAUUAGAUUGGAGUGAUGGGAAAGAUCAUGACAUUUGAAGAAUCCAUGCUUUCAACAUGCUCUCACUGUUGAUAGUGACAAUCACCUGAAUGGGGUGAUGUUUCAGGAUUCUCCCCUAUUAAGCUACCUUUUUUGUACUCUCUGUAAGGAAGACACUGUGCAACUUCCACUACAAUAAACUUAUUUUUUAAAAUAGAACUUACCUACCUACCUACUUACCUGCCUCCACUGGAACCAUUUGACAGAUGCCUCAACCUUCAGUCAACAGCUAUGGUUCAUCUCUUUACAGGCUGAAUAUCACCAGGCAAAGGAAACACAGAUAGAAAAGUAUCCAAGCUGACUAGGAAAAUAAAGAAUGCUACUGCCUGCAGUUUUCCCUUUUCUGCUGAAAAUUCAAAAUAAGGCUCACAUCAUUACAUUUCUUCUGACAAGAUUUUGACCCUAACACUCUGAUGAAAGUCUUCAAGCCCAGCUCCACCAC